UACGGAGGGUGCAAGCGUUAUCCGGAUUCACUGGGUUUAAAGGGUGCGUAGGUGGGUUGGUAAGUCAGUGGUGAAAUCUCCGUGCUUAACAUGGAAACUGCCAUUGAUACUACUGAUCUUGAAUUUUCUGGAGGUAAGCGGAAUAUGUCAUGUAGCGGUGAAAUGUUUAGAUAUGACAUAGAACACCAAUUGCGAAGGCAGCUUGCUACAGGGAUAUUGACACUGAGGCACGAAAGCGUGGGGAUCAAACAGG
rnacentral:rRNA from 1 species